GCGACUCCAACCCAUAUCUUCAACCUUGCACUGCCAGCGCGAGCAGAUCACCUUCCUUCCCCGUGGUGGAGGAGGGCCGAGCGUCGGCAGAAUGCGUUCCUGGACGAGAGACCUCUGUGACAGAUGGCGACUCUGUUGGGGAGCCCAAAACCAUUCCAUCGGGGCGAUCUGCAAAAAAAAUAUCUCGAUAAGUUUGGGUGGUCUCUUUCAUUGUCUGUUACUGCCUUCUUAGGAUUUAAUUUCGGGGGAUGAUAAGCUAUGUACCUGAACUUGGGUGAGACUUAGAAAAAUGAAGGGUAGUAAGUGCAUGCGGGUUGCAAUAGCGCCCGACUCGCUGAUUCCUCGAACC
rnacentral:lncRNA from 1 species